rnacentral:rRNA from 1 species
UACGUAGGGUGCAAGCGUUAAUCGGAAUUACUGGGCGUAAAGCGUGCGCAGGCGGUUCGCUAAGACCGAUGUGAAAUCCCCGGGCUUAACCUGGGAACUGCAUUGGUGACUGGCGGGCUAGAGUAUGGCAGAGGGGGGUAGAAUUCCACGUGCAGCAGUGAAAUGCGUAGAGAUGUGGAGGAAUACCGAUGGCGAAGGCAGCCCCCUGGGCCAAUACUGACGCUCAUGCACGAAAGCGUGGGGAGCAAACAGG